GGAGAUGUAGCUCAGUAGGUAGAGAGCUUGGCCUGUCAGACACAAAGCUCUGAGUUCAAUCCCUAGCGACUCCU
rnacentral:tRNA from 1 species